rnacentral:lncRNA from 1 species
GGGGAUCUUUUGGAAUCCAACCAUCAGCCAUUUUCACAACGUGCCCGAGCCAUCGUAGACGUCGCUGUUUCAGUAAUGUGUACAUACUAAAAAUUCCAGCUCAUUCUAGGACUACUCUAUUUGAAACUUUGUCCUGCCAGGUGAUACCAAAAAUGCGUCGGAGACAACGCAUAUGGAAGGUGUUCAACUUCCUCUCCUGCCAUGCACACCAAGCAGGGGAACAACAAAAUUAAACAGAACUAAACAAGUACAGUAUAUAAUAAUGUGCCAUCAAGUAAAUUCUGACUUGUGGUAAUCCUUUUCAGGGUUUUCUAGAUAAAAAAUACAGUACUCAUAAAUGGUUUUACCAUUUCUUUCUUUUGGGGGAACCCUGGGACUGCUCAACUUGCCCAGGGUCACACAGGCUAGAAUCACAGUGGAGAAUUAAACUCCCAACUUCUGACUCUGCAACCAGAUAGCUAACUCGCUGAGCUAUCCAGCCAGCCAAGGGUAAGCAAAAAUGUAAAAUGGAUGCAUUUCAGGGAAAAAGAGACAGGGGCAGAGGGCAGUUGAAUCCAUAAAGGACUGGAGAAUAACAGCAGAAUAGAUUUGAGACUUACGGAUUGCCAAGGAACACUUCCAGCACUCCCCCUAAAGCUUCAAAAAAACCCUAGAAAGAUGGGCUUGGGAUAUCCUAAACUUGCCCCUCUUGCAGGCGGAUCGUUAGGAUGGGGGUGAAAAAGCCAAACGUACCAUAGAGAGCAAACGUGAAAACCAAAAGGAACUCCUAGAAUAAGAUACAAAUAGUCCCUCAUCGGCCACAUUUCCCCCAUUUUUUCAAAUAAAAGCAUCGCCCCCAUCCUAAUUUGCAGCGCUCCAAAAACUCCUGCCGUGCAAGAUCCCUCCCUUGCUCUCCUCUUCCCCGCCCCCCCCAAUCGCUUUGGUGCCCCCUUUGCAAAGCCCUUUCCAAAAAAACAGCCACCACACCCCGCGAGGGAGGAGCCUUCCUCCUCAUCAUCAUCACCUCUCUCCCGGGAAGACUCUUAGGAGCUCACCAGAUCCCCCGGACAAACCCAGGCGGCAAGCGGAGGAGACGAGGCCUGGGGAUGAUGGCACUUGUGGCUGAACAUAUCCAGACUCCUAUUGAGAAGGCGUCAAGCUGGGAAAGGCUGUUUAGAAAAUGGAUUUUUGAGGACUGCAUGUCCGAGACAUGUCCGAGACAUGACAUUUGAUACUCCUGUGGAUAUAAAGCAAGAUGUGGCAAUGUUAUCAAUUAUUUUGUAUUCAUCUUUGUCUUUCUAAAGGUACAAGACUUACCCUGCAUCCAGAUCAAAAACUAUAGUGAAUUUUGAGCAAAACAUAAAACAAAUUUUGAGAUCUUUGGUGUGUGUGUGUGUGUGUGUGUGUGUGUUUGGUUCAUUCCGUGUGCAAUUCAAAAUAAUAGUGUUUUAAAAAAAUAAUUACAAUAGUUCUGUCGGCAGGAACAGAGAUGGGACACACAGUCAGAAGG